GGGGGGAGGCCGGAUCCUGGGCUGUGUCCCCGGCGCCCUGUUCUCCGGGGCCUGCGCUGUUGGAAUCGCGCUCCCGGGCCGCGCAGCCCCUU
rnacentral:pre_miRNA from 1 species